UACGAAGGGGGCUAGCGUUGUUCGGAAUUACUGGGCGUAAAGCGCGCGCAGGCGGUCUUCCAAGUCAGUGGUGAAAGCCUGGAGCUCAACUCCAGAACUGCCAUUGAAACUGUUAGACUUGAGUACGAGAGAGGUGAGUGGAAUUCCCAGUGUAGAGGUGAAAUUCGUAGAUAUUGGGAAGAACACCGGUGGCGAAGGCGGCUACACUGGCUCGUAACUGACGCUCAGGCGCGACAGCGUGGGGAUCAAACAGG
rnacentral:rRNA from 1 species